AACGAACGCUGGCGGCAGGCUUAACACAUGCAAGUCGAACGGCUGUAGCAAUACAGCAGUGGCAGGCGGGUGAGUAACACGUGGGAACCUUCCUAGGGGUACGGAACAACUCAGGGAAACUUGAGCUAAUACCGUAUACGUCCGAAAGGAGAAAGAUUUAUCGCCCUUAGACGGGCCCGCGUCGGGUUAGCUAGUUGGUGGGGUAACGGCCUACCAAGGCGACGAUCCGUAGCUGAUCUGAGAGGAUGAUCAGCCACACUGGGACUGAGACACGGCCCAGACUCCUACGGGAGGCAGCAGUGGGGAAUCUUGGACAAUGGGCGCAAGCCUGAUCCAGCCAUGCCGCGUGAGUGAAGAAGGCCUUAGGGUUGUAAAGCUCUUUUGGCAGGGACGAUAAUGACGGUACCUGCAGAAUAAGCCCCGGCAAACUUCGUGCCAGCAGCCGCAGUAAAAC
rnacentral:rRNA from 1 species